GGCUAAUGAUCCACUUGUUUCUUCUUCUCUGCGCAGGAUACCCAAGGCACUUGCGGAAAAAGCAUUCGCAGACAUCAAAGAAAAACAAGCUGCAGCACAGAUUCAAGCUGUAAUCCAGAGAAGCAAGAAGAGGAGAUCUGAGGAGGAAGAGAGGUCUAACCAAGUCCAAAAACUGACGUCUAAACAGAGAAGAGCGAUUGACCGUGCUCAGAAGGGGAAGAAAAUUGGCGUGCGCUAUUACGAAACAGCCAAUGUGAAAAACAAGAACAAGGACAGAAAGGCCCCAGCGUCUGCCACAGAAGGCCAGAGGUCCAAAAGAAGAAAGCACUAGACUGGCGUCGUGAAACACAUUUGUAAUAAAUCUUUAUUUAAACUUGCCAAAAGCCAAGUUUUUUUUUGAAAGUGUGGAGUUAACAGAAGGUGGAAUGCUAACUUAGCAUUAAAAAGGUCUGUAUCAAGUGGUCACUUGCGGCCUUGCCUUUUGAAACUCCUUCUCCCCUUCAGACCAGAACUGUUUUUGAAUGACAUUUCAUUCAUCAUUUACAGGACAGGUGUAAUGCUCUCUUGAUGUUAAAGAAAACUGUACGUGUCAUGUCAUGCUGUAAUAAAAAACGUGCUAAUGACACUCACUUCUGUUUACUUCAAUUGAUCAUGUAGAAAGAAGAC